UACGAAGGUGGCAAGCGUGGUUCGGAUUCACGGGGCGUACAGGGUGUGUAGGCGGUUUGGUAAGCCUUCUGUUAAAGCUUCGGGCACAACCCGGAAAGCGCAGAGGGUACUGCCGGGCUUGAGUUCGGGAGAGGGAAGCGGAAUUCCGGGUGUAGCGGUGAAAUGCGUAGAUAUCAGGAGGAACACCGAUGGCGAAGGCAGUUCUCUGGGCCGUAACUGACGCUGAGGAUCGAAAGCGUGGGGAGCGAACAGG
rnacentral:rRNA from 1 species